UACGGGGGGGGCAAGCGUUGUUCGGAAUUACUGGGCGUAAAGGGCUCGUAGGCGGCCAACUAAGUCAGACGUGAAAUCCCUCGGCUUAACCGGGGAACUGCAUCUGAUACUGGAUGGCUUGAGAUUGGGAGAGGGAUGCGGAAUUCCAGGUGUAGCGGUGAAAUGCGUAGAUAUCAGGAGGAACACCGGUGGCGAAGGCGGGUCUCUGGGCCGUAACUGACGCUGAGGAGCGAAAGCGUGGGGAGCAAACAGG
rnacentral:rRNA from 1 species